rnacentral:rRNA from 1 species
UGUGUAGGCGGUUUAGUUAGUCUGUCGUGAAAGCCUUGGGCUUAACCCAAGAUACGCGGGAGAAACGGCUAAACUUCGAGGACGCGAGAGGUAGAGGGAACUCAUGGUGUAGGGGUGAAAUCCGUUGAUAUCAUGGGGAACACCAAAUGCGAAGGCACUCUACUGGCGCGCUCCUGACGCUGAAACACGAAAGCGUGGGAAUCGAACG